GGUGAUAUAGCUUAGUUGGUAGAGUGCUUGUCUUGCAUACACAAGGCCUUGGGUUCGAUCCCUGGCACCA
rnacentral:tRNA from 1 species